rnacentral:rRNA from 1 species
GACGAACGCUGGCGGCGUGCUUAACACAUGCAAGUCGAACGGAAAGACCCUGCUUUUGUGGGGUGCUCGAGUGGCGAACGGGUGAGUAACACGUGAGUAACCUGCCCUUGUCUUUGGGAUAACUUCAGGAAACUGGGGCUAAUACCGGAUAGGAGCUCCUGCUGCAUGGUGGGGGUUGGAAAGUUUCGGCGGUUGGGGAUGGACUCGCGGCUUAUCAGCUUGUUGGUGGGGUAGUGGCUUACCAAGGCUUUGACGGGUAGCCGGCCUGAGAGGGUGACCGGCCACAUUGGGACUGAGAUACGGCCCAGACUCCUACGGGAGGCAGCAGUGGGGAAUAUUGCACAAUGGGCGGAAGCCUGAUGCAGCAACGCCGCGUGCGGGAUGACGGCCUUCGGGUUGUAAACCGCUUUCGCCUGUGACGAAGCGUGAGUGACGGUAAUGGGUAAAGAAGCACCGGCUAACUACGUG